UUCAUACUCCCUCCGUCCCAAAAUUCUUGUCUUAGAUUUGUCUAAAUACGGAUGUAUCUAGUUACGUUUUAGUGUUAGAUACAACCGUGUCUAGACAAAUCUAAGACAAGAAAUUUGGGACGGAGGGAGUACUUG
rfam:Triticum aestivum genome assembly, contig: Triticum_aestivum_CS42_TGACv1_scaffold_220616_3B